AUACGUAGGUGGCAAGCGUUGUCCGGAAUUACUGGGCGUAAAGCGUGCGCAGGCGGUUUUGUAAGACAGAGGUGAAAUCCCCGGGCUCAACCUGGGAACUGCCUUUGUGACUGCAAGGCUAGAGUACGGCAGAGGGGGAUGGAAUUCCGCGUGUAGCAGUGAAAUGCGUAGAUAUGCGGAGGAACACCGAUGGCGAAGGCAAUCCCCUGGGCCUGUACUGACGCUCAUGCACGAAAGCGUGGGGAGCAAACAGGAUUAGAUACCCUGGUAGUCCACGCCCUAAACGAUGUCAACUGGUUGUUGGGUCUUCAUUGACUCAGUAACGAAGCUAACGCGUGAAGUUGACCGCCUGGGGAGUACGGCCGCAAGGUUGAAACUCAAAUGAAUUGACGGGG
rnacentral:rRNA from 1 species